rnacentral:lncRNA from 10 species
AACAUGGACAGACUCAGGAAGUCACUCUCCCCGGCUCUGUUCAAGUGGCACAGAGGGGCCCAGGGCUCUGCCCGACGAUGUACAGAAAAAGUCUUGGUCUUGAGGAAUCUUCCCUUUAUAGGCAGACAGCAUUUCAAGUAAUCUGUGUGAAAUCAGUGCAUUUCUCUUUCUUCAUUCGGAUGAAGUGACACUAAGCAGGAAAGUCUU